rnacentral:rRNA from 1 species
UACGUAGGGCGCAAGCGUUGUCCGGAAUUAUUGGGCGUAAAGAGCUCGUAGGCGGUUUGUCGCGUCUGCCGUGAAAGUCCGGGGCUCAACUCCGGAUCUGCGGUGGGUACGGGCAGACUAGAGUGAUGUAGGGGGAGACUGGAAUUCCUGGUGUAGCGGUGAAAUGCGCAGAUAUCAGGAGGAACACCGAUGGCGAAGGCGGAUCUCUGGCGAUUAACUGACGCUGAGGCGCGAAAGCUGGGGAGCAAACGGAUUAGAACGUACCGUGUCAGAUCCAAGCCAUCU